rnacentral:rRNA from 1 species
CUGAGACAGGUGGUGCAUGGCUGUCGUCAGCUCGUGUCGUGAGAUGUUGGGUUAAGUCCCGCAACGAGCGCAACCCUUGUCAUUAGUUGCCAUCAUUAAGUUGGGCACUCUAAUGAGACUGCCGGUGACAAACCGGAGGAAGGUGGGGAUGACGUCAAGUCAUCAUGCCCCUUAUGACCUGGGCUACACACGUGCUACAAUGGACGGUACAACGAGAAGCGAACCUGCGAAGGCAAGCGGAUCUCUUAAAGCCGUUCUCAGUUCGGACUGUAGGCUGCAACUCGCCUACACGAAGCUGGAAUCGCUAGUAAUCGCGGAUCAGCACGCCGCGGUGAAUACGUUCCCGGGCCUUGUACACACCGCCCGUCACACCAUGAGAGUCUGUAACACCCAAAGCCGGUGGGAUAACCUUCAUAGGAGUCAGCCGUCUAAGGUAGGACAGAUGAUUAGGGUGAAGUCGUAACAAGGUAGCCGUAGGAGAACCUGCGGCUGGAUCACCUC